UACAGAGGUCUCAAGCGUUGUUCGGAUUCAUUGGGCGUAAAGGGUGCGUAGGUGGCGAGGCAAGUCUGAUGUGAAAUCCCGGGGCUCAACCCCGGAACUGCAUUGGAUACUGCCCUGCUUGAGCACUGGAGAGGAGACUGGAAUUUACGGUGUAGCAGUGAAAUGCGUAGAUAUCGUAAGGAAGACCAGUGGCGAAGGCGAGUCUCUGGGACAGUUGCUGACACUGAGGCACGAAGGCUAGGGGAGCAAACGGG
rnacentral:rRNA from 1 species